GUUCACAACAUUUUUAUAAAAGGAAGUGAUGGAUAUUUUUAUUGUGGAGACUUCAAUACCAUCUAAUUAUCACAAUAUUCACUUAUAAUAUGUCAUAUCCCUUGAUCAAUGAUUUUGUCAGUCGGUUCCUUGUGUUUCCGGUGGAUCACUCCAAGCAAGCAAAUUUAUGGACAUUUCUAUAGUUUACCACACCAUGCUGGACCACUUCAAAUGUCACUUAGACAUUUAUUGACAAAUGUUAACCGUUGAAUGAUAAUACUAUAAAGUAUACCGUUGCACAAAAUGU
rnacentral:lncRNA from 1 species